AUGAAGGUGCAGCAGGAGGGAAAGAAGCUCCAAGAUGCCCACACCCAACUAGGAGAAGAGCUGAAGGGUGUUCGGGCCCAGCUGUCUAGCUCCGUGAAGGAGAAUCAGCGGCUUCGUCGCGGCAUUUAUAGUGUGCUCACAGGUCGCGCUGCGGAGGAAAUGCCUGGGUCAACGGGUGACCAAGUUCCCGAGCUGGUGCAAUUGUUCGAACGUGUUCGGCAGGCGAUGAGUGGCGUCGUUCAGGCUUUAUGGCCAUCCGUCUCCCUACCCGAGGGCCUUGGUGAGCUUGCUGAGAAGCUUCAGGGAGCACGGCGACGCCUCCGUUUGUGGAAGAUAUCGGCCUGCCGUAAGGGCGCCAGGGAGGCCUGGGCCAUGGUGAAGACGCGAUACCCGAAGGCUGACCCAAACCACAUGGCCGAGGUCGGACCUGCGGGGCCUGAUGGGAAGGAGAUCCCUGUGAGCUUGAUGUACGACCAAGUAGAACUGGCCGCGAAAUAUUCCCAACAGGACUGUAAAUUAGACAGCCUGUUAGAUGGGAUUGAGGAGGAGUACAAUCAGUCGGUUUGA
rnacentral:rRNA from 1 species